GUGGGGAAUUUUGGACAAUGGGCGCAAGCCUGAUCCAGCCAUGCCGCGUGUGUGAAGAAGGCCUUCGGGUUGUAAAGCACUUUCGGCCGGAACGAAAUCGCCUACGUUAAUAGCGGAGGUGGAUGACGGUACCGGAAGAAGAAGCACCGGCUAACUACGUGCCAGCAGCCGCGGUAAUACGUAGGGUGCGAGCGUUAAUCGGAAUUACUGGGCGUAAAGGGUGCGCAGGCGGCGUCGCAAGUCAGGCGUGAAAUCCCCGGGCUUAACCUGGGAACUGCACUUGAAACUACGAUGCUGGAGUAUGGCAGAGGGAGGUGGAAUUCCACGUGUAGCGGUGAAAUGCGUAGAGAUGUGGAGGAACACCGAUGGCGAAGGCAGCCUCCUGGGCCAAUACUGACGCUCAUGCACGAAAGCGUGGGGAGCAAACAGGAUUAGAAACCCGGGUAGUCC
rnacentral:rRNA from 1 species